CAAAAGCCAAAAGAGUUUGGCUUCAUGAGGCAAGGUGAUUGACUCAAUGGCUUGUUGAAUCUCAGCAGUUCCGCCAUCUUGAAGAAUGAUUGAUUGUCAAACACUGACCCAAGAACUGCUAUCAGGGUGCAAGUAUCUUACUAGUUAGCCUAAGGAUGGGAAAAUAUCUCUUCCUAAUAUACCAUCUUUCUACAGUAUUUCCUACAGCUAAAGCCUCAGGCCAUUGCCUAAUUAACAAUGAAGAUUUCAUGGACAUCCUACACUUCAGGAUUACUUGACUAUCUCAAACACAUAAAUCAAAAUGGGCCAAGUAGCAAAUCUUGAUGAAUUUCCACUCUUACCAUCCAUUCUUACUACCAACAGUAUAACUGAACAUGUGAUUAGAAUGAUCUAUAUUAAUGUUUAGUUAUUUUUGGUUGAGUGCUAAAUAUUUCAGAAGGCUACUUAACAUGUAAGAUACCAACUUCAACACUGUAAUAACAUAUACUGUGAAAACAUUCCUAAAAAAUAACCAAAGGGUUUGCUAACUCUGCUUCAACAUCCAACAACACAAAACUAUAUGAUUUUUAAAAUCAUGAAAUAGAGACAGCAAAGCAUAUUUUUACAUCAAUUUGUAUCCUAUCAUACUUCAUAAUAUAUAUUUGUAUAUUCAAAUUUCUAUUUUAUAGGCCCAAGCUGUGUUUCUCCAAACAUUACAUUCUCAUCACCAAGUGCCAGCUGUUACACAUGGAGAGGAAAUGAUUCCUUAUAUUAAACCUGACCAGAGCUUUUUGCCUUCUAGGGAUUUAUUUUUCCCAUAGUGUAUCAGUUGUUAUGCCACAAUAACAACAAUAAUAAUGAUCUUAAUGUCCAAAGUGCUUUGUCAUUUAGAGUCCUUUAACAUCUGUUAUACCAUGUGAUGCCCUUGAACACCCCAUUGGGCUAUUGUCUGUGUAUUCUGCUCUCUUUAGCAGAUGAUCUGUAAUUUGGUCAUUGUUCUGUUAUAUUCCAGAUUGCUCUACUUGCUAAUAUUUGUAUAGAAUAGAAUUUAUGUAAACUAGUAACCAGUUGAUCUCUGUGCCAAAUACAUUAUAUCAGGAUUACACAAAAAGUAUCACAAAGGAUGGUCUUGGCCAUAUGCUAGGACCCCUGUGAAAAUAAGUAGUUUUGAGAAGUUUUUCUAUAUACGUAUAUAUACACGUGUGGUUCUAUUUAGGUGAGGAAAAGAUGAAAAAGCAGGGACAACAGGAGGAAAUGAAAGCAGAGAAAUAUAGUUUCCUGUCCUAGGGUUGAGACAAUUCUAUUUUUCAUAUACUCGUUGCUCAUUAAAUAGUAAAGGAUGAUUUGCUGCAAGAGUAGCUGAGAAUUCAAAAACAUCCUUGCAGAAUGAUUCAAAAGACAAAAGCCAGGCUCAAGUUAUAGAAUGUUUUGGAAACUGGAAGUAAUGAUACAUUUCACUUCAGAAGCACUUGUAGGUCUUUACUAGUGCUAAGUAUUAUGGUGAGCUAUCAUUAAAAUGUGCCAUCUUGGAUAAAGGCCUUUUGCCUGCUCUCUUCUGCAAUUUUGAUACCUCAAUAUUCACACCCAUAAACAUUACUAAGCCCCAGUUCUAUCGUUGGAAGGAGUUGUUAUUCUUUUGUUGUUCCCUUAUGCAAUUUUUAAUUCUAUGAAUGUUAAGUUUUUUUGAGCUAAUGAUACAUAGAAAUGCCCACUCAAAGAAAAAUAAACAGAGACAAAUGUUAAAAUUGCCAUACAGACUGUUUUUUCCCCUGAUGUUUCACUUUAAAAUAAAAAGAAAUCCUUGAUUAAUCAGAAUGCCUUGGGACAUGAACAUAAUUUAUUUAGUUUUCUAAUAAAUGAAGGGCCAACUCUUAUUUGUUCUAGCCCCUACUGAUGAGAAACAUUUGAAAACUUGCUUGCUCUCCUGCCUCGUUGUAGCUUUCUCUGAUGAAGACUUCUGCAGUAUAUUGUAUCCCUCACUCUAUAGCAGGAGAUACAUCUCUUUUUGUUCACGCCUUGAAGACUUCAGAAAAAUAGAAGCUCACUUCCUUCCAUAAAGGUGAAGAACAUCUUGAUGAAUAAACAGUCAACUACCAAGUUCACAUAUUUGCCUAUGAAGUGAGAGCUAUUUCUAAGAAACUUCAAAAAGAUCAAAACGAGGCAAUUUUAUAGCUUUUUGUUACCUAAUCUACAAAGUACUAAUUUCCUUGUGUUUAGCUUUGUUGUCACUGUUACUGAGUAACUACCCAUUUCUGUUACAUAUGGUACAUUUUUUGCUUCACUUAUUUUCCUGAGUUCCCAUGAUUUUUUUUCUGUAGUUUCUCAUUCAUUUUAAAACCCAUAAUCUUCAUCUAUUUUUA
rnacentral:lncRNA from 1 species